UACAGAGGUCUCAAGCGUUGUUCGGAUUCAUUGGGCGUAAAGGGUGCGUAGGCGGCGCGGUAAGUCGGGUGUGAAAUCUCGGAGCUUAACUUCGAAACUGCAUUCGAUACUGCCGUGCUUGAGGACUGGAGAGGAGACUGGAAUUUACGGUGUAGCGGUGAAAUGCGUAGAUAUCGUAAGGAAGACCAGUGGCGAAGGCGAGUCUCUGGACAGUUACUGACACUGAGGCACGAAGGCCAGGGGAGCAAACGGG
rnacentral:rRNA from 1 species